AAGAAAAAAACAAGGUCUAGAACAGAAUGUUUAUCUCCUUCAAAAUAUUUGUAGAUAAAUAGAAUAACUGAAAGGUUAUAUCAGUGAUCUUCACUUCCCAAUUAAACACCUCUUAAAUGGAGAUGCUGCUACUGCCUUCAUUACAUAUUGACAUAUUUUUAUUUCACUAAUGGUUUUGCAGCAAUGAAACAGCGCUUUGUCCAGGCCUGCCAAUGACUAAUCAGCACACACUCCCCCAUUCCGAGCCUAUAAAAAACCUGAAGUCAGCCAUAUGUUGGACUACCACUCCAAGGCCCCAUCUCACACAGAGGCCCACCUGCUCUCAGGUCCCCUCUCCGUAGAGAGCUUUCCUUCACUCACUCAAUAAAAUCCUUCC
rnacentral:lncRNA from 1 species